rnacentral:rRNA from 1 species
UACGUAGGUGGCGAGCGUUGUUCGGAUUUAUUGGGCGUAAAGGGUUCGCAGGAGGUUUGUUAAAAUUGGGGUGAAAUCCCGGGGCUCAACCCCGGAAUUGCCCUGAUGACUGACAGACUAUGAGUGCUGGAGAGGUAAGCGGAAUACCAAGUGUAGCGGUGGAAUGCGUAGAUAUUUGGUAGAACACCAAUGGCGAAGGCAGCUUACUGGACAGCUACUGACUCUCAGGGACGAAAGCGUGGGGAGCAAA